rnacentral:rRNA from 1 species
UAGAGUUUGAUCAUGGCUCAGGAUGAACGCUGGCGGCGUGCCUAACACAUGCAAGUCGUGCGAGAAAGUCACCUUCGGGUGAUGAGUAAAGCGGCGAACGGGUGAGUAACACGUGAGCAACCUACCCUUGAGCGGGGCAUAACCCCGAGAAAUCGGGGCUAAAACCCCAUAAUCUCCACAGAACCUAUUUCAGUGGAGCAAAGUCGGCCUCUGUUUACAAGCUGGCGCUGAAGGAUGGGCUCGCGUCCCAUCAGCUAGUUGGUGAGGUAACGGCUCACCAAGGUAAAGACGGGUAGCCGGCCUGAGAGGGCGAUCGGCCACACUGGGACUGAGACACGGCCCAGACUCUUACGGGAGGCAGCAGUGGGGAAUAUUGCACAAUGGGCGAAAGCCUGAUGCAGCGACGCCGCGUGGAGGAUGCCCACGGGUCGUAAACUCCUUUCUUUUCGGAAGAAUCUGUGGAUGUUAAUACCAAUUCAGAGUGACGGUACGAAAAGAAGAAGCCCCGGCUAACUCUGUGCCAGCAGCCGCGGUAACGCAGAGGGGGCAAGCGUUAUCCGGAAUCACUGGGCUUAAAGAGUGCGUAGGCGGUCCAAAAAGUCAGGUGUGAAAGCCCUCUGCUCAACAGAGGAAUUGCAUCUGAAACUCUUGGACUAGAGCUCCGGGGAGGAGAACGGAAUUUCCGGUGUAGCGGUGAAAUGCGUAGAUAUCGGAAAGAACACCAGCGGCGAAAGCGGUUCUCCACCCGAUGCUGACGCUGAGGCACGAAAGCUAGGGGAGCAAACAGGAUUAGAUACCCUGGUAGUCCUAGCUAUAAACGGUGGGCACUAGGUGUACUCCUUUUGAAGGAGUGUGCCGUAGUCAACGCGUUAAGUGCCCCGCCUGGGGAUUACGGCCGCAAGGCUGAAACUCAAAGGAAUUGACGGGGGCCCGCACAAGCGGUGGAGCGCGUGGCUUAAUUCGAUGAUAAACGAAGAACCUUACCUGGGCUUGACAUGCUGGUAGUAGGGCCUCGAAAGGGGUUCCCACUGGUAGCCAAUCCAGACCAGCACAGGUGCUGCAUGGCUGUCGUCAGCUCGUGCCGUGAGGUGUUGGGUUAAGUCCCAUAACGAGCGCAACCCCUGCCGUUAGUUGCUACUCUGGCUUUAUGUCAAAGGCACUCUAGCGGGACUGCCCCGGAAUACGGGGAGGAAGGUGGGGAUGACGUCAAGUCAUCAUGGCCCUUAUGUCCAGGGCUGCACACGCGCUACAAUGGACUGGACAAUGGGCAGCAACUCCGUGAGGAGAAGCAAAUCCCUUAAACCUGUCCCCAGUUCAGAUUGCAGGCUGAAAUUCGCCUGCAUGAAGGCGGAAUCGCUAGUAAUCGCAGAUCAGCAUGCUGCGGUGAAUACGUUCUCGGGCCUUGUACACACCGCCCGUCACAUCCCGAAAGUUGUAACACCGGAAAUCUUCUUUCUCUCGAGAAAUUUAUUUCUUGAGGAGAAGAAGACAAAGGUGUGAGCAGCGAUUGGGGUGAAGUCGUAACAAGGUA